rnacentral:lncRNA from 1 species
CACUGGUGCAGAAGAAGCCGACCAUGUAUCCUGAGUGGAAGUCGACGUUCGAUGCCCACAUCUAUGAGGGGCGCGUCAUCCAGAUUGUGCUAAUGCGGGCAGCAGAGGAGCCAGUGUCUGAGGUGACCGUGGGUGUGUCGGUGCUGGCCGAGCGCUGCAAGAAGAACAAUGGCAAGGCUGAGUUCUGGUGGACCUGCAGCCUCAGGCCAAGGUGUUGAUGUCUGUUCAGUAUUUCCUGGAGGACGUGGUUGCAAACAGUCUAUGCGCAGUGAGGACGAGGCCAAGUUCCCAACGAUGAACCGCCGCGGAGCCAUCAAACAGGCCAAAAUCCACUACAUCAAGAACCAUGAGUUUAUCGCCACCUUCUUUGGGCAACCCACCUUCUGUUCUGUGUGCAAAGACUUUGUCUGGGCCUCAACAAGCAAGGCUACAAAUGCAGGCAUGUAACGCUGCCAUCCACAAGAAAUGCAUCGACAAGAUCAUCGGCAGAUGCACUGGCACCGCGGCCAACAGCCG